GUCUCUUCGGGGAUGAUUAAACCGGCGCACGGGUGAGUAACACGUGAGUGACCUGCCUUUUAGACUGGAACAACUUACCGAAAGGUGAGCUAAUGCCGGAUGAGUUAUAUAAGUGCAUGUUUAUAUAGGAAAAGUUGGGGAGACCUGACGCUGAAAGAUGGACUCGCGUCCCAUUAGCUAGUUGGUAGGGUAAUGGCCUACCAAGGCGACGAUGGGUAGCCGGCCUGAGAGGGUGGCCGGCCACACUGGGACUGAGACACGGCCCAGACUCCUACGGGAGGCAGCAGUGGGGAAUUUUGCGCAAUGCUCGUAAGAGUGACGCAGCGACGCCGCGUGAAUGACGAAGGCCUUCGGGUCGUAAAGUUCUUUCGACAGGGAAGAAAAUGCCUAUAAGUAACUGUGUAUGUAUUGACGGUACCUGUAUAAGCAGCCCCGGCUAACUCCGUGCCAGCAGCCGCGGUAAUACGGAGGGGGCGAGCGUUGUUCGGAGUGACUGGGCGUAAAGAGCACGUAGGCGGUGUUGUAGUCAUUAGUCAAAGACUAGAGCUCAACUUUAGUAAGGCUAGUGAUACUAUAAUACUAGAGUAUCAGAGAGGAUUGCAGAAUUCCUGGUGUAGCGGUGAAAUGCGUAGAUAUCAGGAGGAAUACCGUUAGCGAAGGCGGCAAUCUGGCUGGAAACUGACGCUGAGGUGCGAAAGCGUGGGUAGCAAACAGGAUUAGAUACCCUGGUAGUCCACGCUGUAAACGAUGGAUGCUAGGUGUUGGGCUUU
rnacentral:rRNA from 1 species